AUGGAGAUGUUACUGUAUGGACUCCUGGUAAUUAUUUCAUCUGUUAGGGGUCAGUCUUUGACCUCCUCAGAUUCUGUGGUGAAAAAGCCUGGAGAAUCAGUGACUCUGUCCUGCACUGGAUCUGGAUUCUCAGUAGGCAGCUCUUAUAUGCACUGGAUCCGUCAGAAACCAGGGAAAGGACUGGAGUGGAUUGGGCGUAUUGACGAUGGUACUGGCACUGUUUUUGCUCAGUCUCUACAGGGCCAGUUCUCCAUCACCAAAGACAGCAAUAAAAACAUGCUGUAUUUAGAGGUGAAAAGCCUGAAGCCUGAAGACACAGCUGUUUAUUACUGUGCACGACAGUCACAGUAA